rnacentral:rRNA from 1 species
GGCUCAGAUUGAACGCUGGCGGCAGGCUUAACACAUGCAAGUCGAGCGGGGGAAGGUAGCUUGCUACUGGACCUAGCGGCGGACGGGUGAGUAAUGCUUAGGAAUCUGCCUAUUAGUGGGGGACAACAUCUCGAAAGGGAUGCUAAUACCGCAUACGUCCUACGGGAGAAAGCAGGGGAUCUUCGGACCUUGCGCUAAUAGAUGAGCCUAAGUCGGAUUAGCUAGUUGGUGGGGUAAAGGCCUACCAAGGCGACGAUCUGUAGCGGGUCUGAGAGGAUGAUCCGCCACACUGGGACUGAGACACGGCCCAGACUCCUACGGGAGGCAGCAGUGGGGAAUAUUGGACAAUGGGGGGAACCCUGAUCCAGCCAUGCCGCGUGUGUGAAGAAGGCCUUAUGGUUGUAAAGCACUUUAAGCGAGGAGGAGGCUACUUUAGUUAAUACCUAGAGAUAGUGGACGUUACUCGCAGAAUAAGCACCGGCUAACUCUGUGCCAGCAGCCGCGGUAAUACAGAGGGUGCGAGCGUUAAUCGGAUUUACUGGGCGUAAAGCGUGCGUAGGCGGCUUAUUAAGUCGGAUGUGAAAUCCCCGAGCUUAACUUGGGAAUUGCAUUCGAUACUGGUGAGCUAGAGUAUGGGAGAGGAUGGUAGAAUUCCAGGUGUAGCGGUGAAAUGCGUAGAGAUCUGGAGGAAUACCGAUGGCGAAGGCAGCCAUCU